rnacentral:tRNA from 1 species
GAGAUAUUAGUAAACAUAUUACGUAACUUUGUCAAAGUUAAAUCAUAGACUAGCCUCUGUAUAUCUUA